AUUUGGGGUGCCAAGCUCUUUCUUCCUUCCUGAAGGGCACAGUUGCUCCCAAGCCCCUGAAGGCAAAUUGAGUUAUGCCUUUGUCCAUGGAUAAGCCACUCUGUGUAUCCAAGGGGAAAUUUUAAUUAGAGGCCUUGCAGAUGGAUGGCUGUGUGCAGGGAGCCUGGGCUCCCCACAGAUUUGAAGCCAUAUCUAUUGUGACUGGUUGGUGGCAAGAAAAGGGAGAGGAAGGCUCCCUCCUUGGCACUUCUGAGGAAAAACACCUCCCCAGCUCCUCUGGAUCCCAUGGGUAGAAGAUGUUCUCCUCCUCCCCACCCCUCCUUCCCUGGGGGCUGCCCUCUCCUGUUCUCCUGCCGGCCCAGCCUGCCCCAGGCAAGGGAGGUGCACGGGGGACUCUUGCACAUCAUUGGUCUGAGAAGGUCUCCAUGCCCUUAAAGAGAAGGUGGAUUUUCUGCUGAGCCACCCGAGAAGCCCUUUUAUACCUCCUUACUCAGCCAGCUGCCUGUGGCUCGUCUGUCCAUCCUGUCCAGCCAGCACGACUCUGAUUUUCUGCAGACCCGGGUUCACAACCAUCUAAACCAAGAUGUCUGAGUAAG